AUUGAACGCUGGCGGCAGGCCUAACACAUGCAAGUCGAACGGAGUGGCGGACGGGUGAGAAAGGUCUGGGAAACUGCCUGAUGGAGGGGGAUAACUACUGGAAACGGUAGCUAAUACCGCAUACUCUCAGCUCAGCCUAGGUCGGAUUAGCUAGUUGUUGGGGUAAAGGCUUACCAAGGCGACAAUCCGUAACUGGUCUGAGAGGAUGAUCAGUCACACUGGAACUGAGACACGGUCCAGACUCCUACGGGAGGCAGCAGUGGGGAAUAUUGGACAAUGGGCGAAAGCCUGAUCCAGCCAUGCCGCGUGUGUGAUGAAGGUCUUCGGAUUGUAAAGCACUUUAAGUUGGGAGGCGUUACCAACAGAAUAAGCACCGGCUAACUUCGUGCCAGCAGCCGCGGUAAUUC
rnacentral:rRNA from 1 species